CUAAAUUUACACAAAAACUCUUCCUUUUCUCAAGAAACCCUAUUUAGGGUUAAAAAUGGCUCUCUUUGUAUUUUUCCACAGCUUUCUUGAACUGCAUAUAUUAGAAAAUUCACACCAUAUAAAAACCAAUUAUCAUUAUUGGAGGUGAAAAUAAAAAAAAUUAUUGCGGUUCAAUAAAGCUGUGGGAAGAUACAGAUAGUGUCAAGAAAUUACAAUUCUUGAAUUUUCAGUUACAGAUUUUUAUUUUCUAUAUAAUGAUGCAUGGAAAUUAAAAGGUGUUCAUAAUGAUCUACUGUUUAAGGUUCUUUUUCAAGAGAUAUUUCUCUGAUUUUAUUUCUAUGUGUUGUGUGUGUGUGUGGAUGGGUUAGUUCUAUACAGAUAAUACUUCUGUGGAAAUAUAUGUUUGGGAUUUACUGAUUUCCAAAUUUGGUUUAUGUUGAUCAAAAUUUGGAUGUCCUUUUGAUAUUUAUUUUCUCUUCCUUCUCAGUUUUUGUACUUAAUGUGAUAAAUUCUUGGAUUAAGAUCUUAUCGUAUGAGUUUAAGUUUAUAAAUUGCUAUAAAUUAUUCUAUAUAAACCACAGUUAUAAUUAGCUUUUUAAUUGGAGCCUUGAGUUCUUGCGCACAUUAAUUUUAAUCCUGAAUAUUACUCCCGUUUUUCAAGCCUUUAGCCUUGACCCUUGGCUGGCUUUGAGCCGAGGGUCUAUUAAAAACAACCUCUCCGUCCUACAAGGUAGGAUAAAGUUGAUACACUAUCUUUCCUAGACCCCACUUCUGAGCCCGAGGGUCUAUCGAAAACAGCCUCUUUUGUUACUGUUGUUGUUGUUCACACCCCAUCAUAAUAUCUCUGGCUUAUUGUUCUUGAAAAGCAAGAUCCGAAAUGGGGUAUAGGGCUUAGAUAAGGAAAAAGAGAAUAGAGGGAGUUAUAAACAUGAAAUUUAGAAUCACAAUGUUGUGGAAAGCAAUUUGUAUUUUCUUUCAAUUUAAUUAGCAAUAGUUUUACAUACAAAAUCCAGUUUCUUAGUCAUAUUCUUAUUCCUACAUCAAAUUCAUGGCUUCUUGCUUGCUUGGGCACUAUAUCUACUAGUAUAUAUUAUAUAGGAUCUAACUUUUUCUAAUGUGAUCUAAUUUUUAGUACUCUUCUUGAGAUUAUUUAUUUUCCACCUCUUUUCUUUCAUAGGCUAAGACAAAGUGAAAUGCAUGACCACCAUUUCACCUCAUAGCUUGUGAAUGAUGUGAUCAAGAAUGUGUUGCUAUUGAAUGUUUAUUUGGACCACAAGGUUGGCAUUGCCCUCUCAUUUGGAAUCUUGCUAGCCAACUAUGUUUUAUGCACACAUUAGAGUCCAUUUAUAUGGAUUAAGUAAAGCAUAUUGUAGGGAAAAAUUUUAUGCAAAAACCGGAUCGAAGAGUGUAGUGAGAUGGUUGAUAUCUCUCCGCCCUUGAUUAGAUUUUCGAGUUCGAACCCCGAGAGUAGAAAACCUUUUAGGACGGAGUACUUUACCCCAUUAGUGGACUUACCGUUAGUAGGUCCAGAGGCGGAGCCAAGAUUUAGAGCUUAUGGGGCUCGAUGUUUUAGUCCUUUUGAAGUUAUUGGGUUCUAAAAUAACAAUUUGCACAUAUUCAAUGAAUUUCUUAAGACAAAUACAUGGUUUGAACAAAAACGUCUGGGCUCGGCCGAACUCGUAGUUGAUGGGCUAGCUCCAUCUCUGAGUAGGUCUACUCAAUAUGAAUCUGAAUUAGUCGAGUCAAGUAAGUAAUAGUCCUAUCCGAAUCUGAAUUAGUCCGGCCAAAGUGAAAAAAGAAAUAAGUGUGUGCAUACAUUGAUGUGAGACUAGACUGGACUAGGCUAGCAAAUUUAACCAAGCAAAUGUAUACUCCUCUUUUUUUAUUUUUUACCUAGGGAAAGAAACACGCGAAGUCAAAAUCUUGCAGAAGAAUUAAAAUUGCUAAAAUAAAAGAAAUAUUAGGGUCUUUUUUUCCCCUUACAAUGGCAAAGACAACUAUGUAGCAAGGAACAUAUACUAUAUUGUUUUGUCUUGUUAAGGCUGACAUCCUUUAUAUCAGACCAACAGUUGUUGCCUGUUCUUUGGAUGGAAUAAAGAACAUUUUAAUAAAUAUUUUAUAAACUAUUGUUUUUGUUUAAUUUAAGUUGCUUGGUCCAUUUUUUAGCCAGGUCAUACACAUCUGUACUGAAUUAUAAUUAACAUUAAAGUAACACAAAAAUUUGGAUUUAUUUAAUUAUUUAUUAUUUUGCAGGAUCUAGUUUUAACAUAGCUGGAAUAAUGAAUCCAUUCAAGCAAUGAACAAGCCAGCUGUGAUAUUUUCUGUAGCUUUUUAACUUUCUUAAUAUGUUGCAAUAAUUCUCAUUAUUAAAGUUCUUAACUUAAAAAAGUAAAAAAAAAAAAAAAAAGCAAAGAAAAGUUGUAAUCUUCCUUUAUUUGCUGUAAGAUUCUAGGCUAGUGCUUAAAAUUUUACGUUUGUUUAUUGGUAUUUGUUUGCUUUACUUUUAGAGGGUCAAGCUCUUCAAUUAUUCAGGCAUUAUUGGUUUAAAGUUAAA